UUGAACGCUGGCGGCAUGCUUUACACAUGCAAGUCGAACGGCAGCGGGGGCUUCGGCCUGCCGGCGAGUGGCGAACGGGUGAGUAAUGCAUCGGAACGUACCCAGUCGUGGGGGAUAACUACGCGAAAGCGUGGCUAAUACCGCAUACGCCCUGAGGGGGAAAGCGGGGGACCUUCGGGCCUCGCGCGAUUGGAGCGGCUGGUGUCGGAUUAGCUGGUUGGUGGGGUAAAGGCCUACCAAGGCGACGAUCCGUAGCUGGUCUGAGAGGAUGAUCAGCCACACUGGGACUGAGACACGGCCCAGACUCCUACGGGAGGCAGCAGUGGGGAAUUUUGGACAAUGGGCGCAAGCCUGAUCCAGCCAUGCCGCGUGAGUGAAGAAGGCCUUCGGGUUGUAAAGCUCUUUCAGCCGGAAAGAAAUUGCUUCUAUUAAUACUAGGAGUAGAUGACGGUACCGGAAGAAGAAGCACCGGCUAACUACGU
rnacentral:rRNA from 1 species